rnacentral:lncRNA from 1 species
GAGAGUUUUAACCCCGCCCCCUUUCGGGAGCUCGAGAUCUGAGUUUUGACCCCGCCCCCUUUCGGGGGAUCCGGAGGCGCUGCCCAGUGACCUCCACCACCCUGCCUAUCCUUGUGGAUCUCCUUGGUGCGAGCUUGAAUUUUAGGAAAUAAGAGAUGGAGUUUUGCUCUUGUUGCCGGGGCUGCAGUGCAAUGGUGCAAUCUCGGUUCACUGCGACCUCCGCCUCUCGGGUUCAAGCGAUUCUCCUUUCUCAGCCUACCGAGUAGCUGGGAUUACAGGCGCGUGCCACCAGGCCCGGCUAAUUUUUGUGUUUUUAGUAGAGACGGGGUUUCAUUAUGUUGAUCAGGCUGGUCUGGAACUCCUGACCUCAGGUGAUCCACCUGCCUUGGCCUCCCAAAGUGCUGGGAUUACAGACGUGAGCCACCGCCCCUGGCCUAAAUUUAACCAUCUUUAAGUAUACAUUUCAGUGACAUUAAGCCUGUUCACGUUGUGCAUCCAUCAGCAGAAUUUGUCAUUAUCCCAUACUGAAAUUCUGUAUACGUUAAACGCUUACGCCCUAUUCUCUUUUCCCCAGCCUCUGGUAACCACCAUUCUACUUUCACCUUUUGGCCACUGUGAAUGAUGCUUCUGUGGACAUUAGUAUACAAAUAUCUGUUGGAGUCCCUGCUUUCAAUUAUUGGGGGUAUAUACCCAGAAGUGAAAUUGCUGGAUUAUAUGGCAAUUCUUAUGUUUAAUUUUUUUUUUUUUUUGAGGAGCCACCAUACUGUUUUCCAUAGCAUCAUACCAUUUUACAUUCCCAAUGGUAGAAGGUUUUACAGAAGAUAGUGACAUGAUCAAAACUAUGAUUAAAAGCAAUCUGGAAAAGAGAGUAAGAUGGAGUAGAGUGGCAGAAUGACCAUGUGGAGACUUCCACAAUGGUUUAGGCAAGAUAUAAUGAGGGCGAGGGCCUGAACACAUCAUCAGCAAUGAGAAUGGAGGAAAGAGGAUACAAAUGCUGAGGUGAUAUUGCCAAGGAAAGAUUGUAAGGACUUGACCAUUGACUGGCGAUUGAGGGGUUAGGGAACAAGAAAAUUAAGGGUUUUUUUUGUUUUUGUUUUUGAGACGGAGUCUCAUUCUGUCACCCAGGCUGGAGUGCAGUGGCGCAAUCUCAGCUCACUGCAAACUCCGCCUCCCGGGUUCACGCCAUUCUCCUGCCGCAGCCUCCCGAGUAUGUGGGACUACAGGCACCAGCGACCAUGCUCGGCUAAUUUUUUUGUAUUUUUUUAGUAGAAACGGUGGGUUUCACCGUGUUAGCCAGGAAGGUCUCGAUCUCCUGACCUCAUGAUCCACCCACCUCAGCCUCCCAAAGUGCUGGGAUUACAGGCGUGAGCCACUGUGCCCGGCCAAAUUAAGGUGUUUAAUAUGACUCCCAUGUGUCACACCUGGGAGGAUGGUAGUCUUCAGAUGAAGAGUCAGGGUAUGGAGAAGUCAUGAGUUCAAGUUUGGAUAUAUAGAGUUCGAAUUACAAGUGGCACAUUGUAAGCUGUGGGGUGGACAUUUGUUGUCUUGCCUGCUGAAUACCCCUUGCCCUUUCAACUGGUAAUGGCACUCUACUUUUUUUCUUUUGAGACAGAGUUUCGCUCUUGUCACCCAGGCUGGAGUGUAGUGGUGUGAUCUCAGCUCACUGCAACCUCUGCCUCCCAGGUUCGAGCUAUUCUCCUGCCUUAGCCUCCCAAGUAGCUGGGAUUACAGGUGCCCACCACCACACCCAGCUAAUUUUUUGUAUUUUUAGUAAAGACGGGGUUUCACCAUGUUGGCCAAGCUGGUCUUGAACUCCUGACCUCAGGUGAUCUGCCCCCCUGCCUCAGCCUCCCGUAGUGCUGAGAUUAUAGGCGUAAGCCACUGCGUCCAGCCUACUUUUUUUUUUUUUCUUUAAAGGUUGUAGAAUUUAUCCUUCUUCAUCUAUGUAUUGGCUAGGCUGGGAGGGUGUGUGGCCAUGAGAAUGUGCUUCUCAGAUCUCUGACUGAGGAAAUUGUAAUUUACCAGCAGUCCAGCUGCUGAGUUCUGAAAUCCAUCCUGAGCUUUGAAAUCCAUUGCCCUUUACUCCGAGGUCUUACUUCCCAUACGCUGCUCAUAGCCAAUAACUGAGCCCAACGGGGAUUUUAGGACAGGACUGUUCCUGGGAUAAGUGAUACUCUUCCGAUGGGUGACUUUGACUCAAGGACUCCUCAAUGGCCUUGCCAAACUUUCCUUAGAACUUCAUUGCAGUCUGAGACACUUCCACCUUGAACACCUUCCCUCUGUCCUUCACUCAGGGUCAGGCCUGCGUCACUGUGCGAUGGCUCUCUCAGUCUUCCCCUUCCAUUUCC